UACGAAGGGUGCAAGCGUUAAUCGGAAUUACUGGGCGUAAAGCGUGCGUAGGCGGUUUGUUAAGUCUGUUGUGAAAGCCCUGGGCUCAACCUGGGAAUGGCAAUGGAAACUGGCGAGCUAGAGUCAGGUAGAGGGUGGUGGAAUUCCCGGUGUAGCGGUGAAAUGCGUAGAUAUCGUGAGGAACACCAGAGGCGAAGGCGGCUACCUGGACAAUUGCUGACGGCUCAGGCACGAAAGCGUGGGGGAGCAAAAGGG
rnacentral:rRNA from 1 species